UACGGGGGGAGCAAGCGUUGUUCGGAUUUACUGGGCGUAAAGGGCGCGUAGGCGGCCACCGCAAGUCGACUGUGAAAUCUCCGGGCUUAACUCGGAAAGGUCAGCCGAUACUGCGGGGCUAGAGUGCAGAAGGGGCAACUGGAAUUCCCAGUGUAGCGGUGAAAUGCGUAGAUAUUGGGAGGAACACCGGUGGCGAAGGCGGCUACCUGGACCGGUUCUGACGCUGAUGCGCGAAAGCGUGGGGAGCAAACAGG
rnacentral:rRNA from 1 species